rnacentral:lncRNA from 1 species
AUUAUUGUGGCUGUCACUCAGGUUUUCUGCUCAUUGGUAGACAAAGGGUGAGGAGGUGACUGAAAUUAGAACAGUGGAAGGACCCUUCACCAAAACCUGGAACGUCAGAAGAAUGGCAAGGCUGAAAAUGAUUAGUGUUAAUUCAUUGCAGUUGUGGUACCCUACCUGUAAGAGUGCCUGAAGGAGCCUGAACUUCCAUGUACUGUCUUCCAUAUAAUGUGAUCUGAGG